rnacentral:lncRNA from 1 species
UAUGCGUUCAAUGUGUGGUUGAUCUAGGCUACUAGAUGGAGUAGGGGAUGACGACGGUGGCUGAAUAGGGGCCUUACUUGGGGUAGGUGGAUGAUGGGGAGGAUGUUUAUUGUGAUGAUGAUCUAGACAAAGAGAAUGAAUAUCAUAGGAAGAUGGUGGAUAAGCAGGAGCAGGGGUUGGGGUAGGUGGGUGACGAGGACGUGGUCUGCGUUCAAUGUGUGGAUGAUCUAGGUUAUUAUAUGGAAUGGGGGAUUGAGACGGUGGCUGAAUAGGGCCCUUUUUUGGGGUGGAUGGGUGAUGGGGAGGAUGUUUAUUGUGAUGAUGAUCUAGACUAAGAGAAUGAAUACCAUAGGAAGAUGAUGGAUGAGCAGGAGUAGGGGUUGGGGUAGGUGGGUGACUAGGAUGAGGUCUGCGUUCAAUGUGUGGAUGAUCUAGGCUCUUAGAUGGAAUGGGGGAUGGAGACGGUGGCUGAAUAGGGGCCUUUCUUGGGGUAGGUGGGUGAUGGGAAGGAUGUUUAUUAUGAUGAUUAUCUAGACUAAGAGAAUGAAUAUCAUAGGAAGAUGGUGGAUGAGCGGGAGCAGGGGUUGGGGUAGGUGGGUGAUGAGGAUGACUGUGGUGGUGAGUACUGACCUCUAUAGCAAGAACGGCCAAAUAACUCACUUGGAGUAAGGCUAACACUAAGACUAGGACAUUGGCCAUGUCUCAAUGCAAGAAAAAGUAGCCUAAAGAGAGGUGGGAGAGUGAUAUUGAUAUCUUGGAAGUGUUCAAAAGAGUGUAUUUAUAGGAGUUAGUGCGUAGAAUAAUUUCAAUAUUUUAUUAUAAACUUAGUCAAAGUCAAAAGAUUUUUAAAAGAUGUAAAUUUAAAAUUAAUUAUUCUAUAUUUUAAUAUUAUUAUUAUUAUUAUUAUUAUUAUUAUUAUUAAUAAAGAUUAACAUACAUGCAUAAUAAUAUGUUAAAAAAUGUAAGUUGAAUACUUUAAUCAAUAUUAUUAUAUAUUUAAUAUAUAUUUUAUGACAUUUUGAAUCCUAAUAAUUAUAUAAUUAAUAAACCAUUUAAGGGUAUUUUUUUCAAUAAUCUUUUUAUAUAGUCACAACUUUUACCAAGAAAAAAUUUAUGUUAUUAAAGUUUGAAAGAAACUUAAGAUGAUGAUUGAAAAGUUUUAGUAUUAUUUUACUAAUUAAUCUUUUAUUUGCUUUUUUCAUUAUUAUUACUAGUUGGAAUGUCGAUGAUGCCUCUUGAUGCAUGUCAUCUCUCCUUACUUAUAAAAAAAUAAAAAAUUCAUUAUUAUUAUCAAUCACAAAAAUUAAAAUAAACUAUUUUUUAAAUGAGUUGACAGUGAAUAAUAAUACAUUUUGACUAACAUAAUUUAUUACAUUAAUAUAUGGUUUAAUAAACAUAUAAAAAUAAUUUUUUAUGAAUUAAUUAAAUUCAUAUGAUUGAAUAGAAUAAACAUAUUAAAAAAUUGUUUUAUGUCUAUGUAUUAUUUUUUUUGUAGUGGUCGGGAUUUCAACCUCAGACCUUGCAUAUACUAUAGAUUGUCCAUACCAAUUGAGAUAAACUCACAAGGAUUGUCCAUGUAUAGAAUAUAAGUAUUAUAUUAUUUUUAUAUUCUUAAUUGUGGAUACAAUUUUGUUUUCUUCAAGAAAGUGGAUAUUUUCCAGUUUGUACUUCCUUUCCUUUUUGGUUAAUAUAUUUUGAAAGAUGUAGAAAGCGUCAUUCUAAUUUUAUUUUAUUUUAUUUUAUUUUUAAAAACGUAUAUCACAUUCAGUUGUGCGUCAAAAAUUUGUAUUUUCCAACAUCGAUUAGUGCAUAUAUUAUAGUGCGUGCCAAAAAUAAAUUUUCCUUUUGUAAAAACUAACAUAUAUUUUCUAGAUAUAGUUAAUUAUUAUAUUUUAAUCAAAAUAGUAUAUUUUGUUCAACAAAAGGGAAAGGGAAACUAUAUUUAAUAAGGUGGAGCUAAUGUCCAUAUUUAGAACUGUCUCAAGUGAGAUUGUAACCAUCUCUAUUUUGAUUACAAUGUCAAACUUUUAUCACAAACAGAAAAACCAUAUUAAAUUUUGUUUAUCCCAUAAAAUUAAAAUCACUAGUCAAAUGAUAAAUUAUCUUCACAAAAUUAUAAUGAAUUCAAUUGGUAUUACGGAUCAACACCUUAGUACGAAUUGAUUAUUGUAACCUUGAGCGCCAACAAUUCGAUGGAAAACUAUUUACCUUCUGAUUUUCUCUUUCUGGAUUCUCUCUUGGUGUCUCUCCAUCAAAGAAGCUACAAGAAUACUAUCAUAGUUAAUUGGAAACUCUAUACAGCGCCUUGGGUCAAAAUUAAUUCAUAAAGUUCGGUCAUUAGAACGCAUGCUUCUUGUAAAGGCAUUUUCCGAGAUGAUUUGGGCCCUUUUUUGGGGUUGAUCUGCUUACAAUUUGGGCAGCCUAUCUAUUUUUAAAUGUGAAAUAAACGAGUACAUUUGGGCUAUGGAGUAUACAGGUCAACAUGGUUGCUGGAGUUAAUUAUUUGAGAGUGACCCAUCUACUGAUAUUUUGAUAUUAAAGAAUCUCGUUACUAUUCCUAUCAGCCAUCAGAACCGAUGGCACAAUUGCCUUCACUUAGGCCUACAACUUGUAUCUGCCAACAUCUAUCGUAAAUUCAAUGGCUAUGCCAACAAGUUCUUCAAUAUGUGUCAUUCUUUUCAAGAUAUGUUUGGUUCGAUUCUGUCCUCUAUUUGUAGUGAUUUUUUUUUUGGGAUAUGAAGGAUUCCCCAUUGAUUGCUAGCUUUAGAUUAUAAUCAUUUUAAGCUUUCCUAUUCUCGUUCGAGUGUUUCAGUUCCGUCCCCACUCUUGCAUAUACUUUUCUACUUUUUAGCGAAUACUAAUAUCGAAGAAAGCUUGUGUAUUAAAAUUUAUAAUUUUUACUUCAUUUAAAGGAUUGUAAAGAGGAAUUACUUUUGAAAACUGUGUGAGGAGUAGCAUAAUUAUAAUAACAAAGAUAAAACAUUUCUAUAUGAUCAAACAUAUAUUUGAAAAAUUAAGUGUAGACUUGUGACGAAAUAUUGAAUUCCACACACAUAAACUUAAUUUCGGUGAAAUAAAUUUUUAAAUAAAUCAAAAGGAAAAAAUACAACAAUGCUACUAAUGAUAAAAUAAAAUAAAAUAAAACACACAAAACUAAGAACAAUAAUUUUAUUUAAAUUUUUUUCUUACAAGAAACAUUAAUUUAUUAAUAUCACUCAUUAUCUGAGACACUACAAAGUUUCUAUUAAAAAAAUUAAUAAGAUGCUGGUUUAACAGGAGCUGGGGUUGGUGGGUGAUGAGGAUGAGGUGUGUGGUGUUCAAUGUGUGGAUGAUCUAGACCGUUGGAUAGAAUGAGGGAUGAAGACGGUGGCUGAACAGGGGAAUUUCUUGGGGUAGAUGGGUGAUGGGGAGGAUGUUUAUUGUGAUGAUGAUCUAGACGAAGAGAAUGACUAUCCACAGAAGAUGGUGGUUGAACAGGAGCAUGGGUUGAUGGGUGACGAGGACGAGGACGACGUAUGCGUUCAAUGUGUGGUUGAUCUAGGCUACUAGAUGGAGUAGGGGAUGACGACGGUGGCUGAAUAGGGGCCUUACUUGGGGUAGGUGGAUGAUGGGGAGGAUGUUUAUUGUGAUGAUGAUCUAGACAAAGAGAAUGAAUAUCAUAGGAAGAUGGUGGAUAAGCAGGAGCAGGGGUUGGGGUAGGUGGGUGACGAGGACGUGGUCUGCGUUCAAUGUGUGGAUGAUCUAGGUUAUUAUAUGGAAUGGGGGAUUGAGACGGUGGCUGAAUAGGGCCCUUUUUUGGGGUGGAUGGGUGAUGGGGAGGAUGUUUAUUGUGAUGAUG